AGUGCCGAAGAUUUUGACUGUUCUAUUAUUGUUGUUGCUGUUGCUACUAUCAAAUGCCUUGGAUUUGGGCUUUGGUCAUUAUGUGAAGGGUUCAUGGACGAAGGGUGUAUCCUAAGGAAGAGAAGAUGCCACAAGGGUCUUGAUUUGUAUUAAGGAAAGUCCCUGAAGCUGCUCUCUGUUAUGGCUACAAUCCAUUUAGAUGACAAGGAUGAUAAAAUUGAGACUACUCUCUCACUUGCUCUAGCAAAGUUGGAAAAUGGCAAUGUUACUGACAGGAGCAUCAUUUCAUCUGACCCACUAGCUUCAAGCACUUAGGAAGACGUGACAUUUAUAGCUUCUGAAACUCUUUCUUGAUGUCUUUAGCCCAUGAACUUUCUUGUUGAUCAUAAAGACUUGGUAUGAAGAAGGAUAUUUUACAAUAAGGAAUGAAAAACAACAA